AUGAGAACUUCAGUGCUUGUAGAUGUGCAGAAAACGUUUUGCAGCAUUUUCCUCCAAGAACACAAAAGCCUGAAUGCUGUUCUCUUCGUAGCCAUGUUUAGCUGCAUCUUCAUUGUCACCCAUUUCUCAUGUCCAUCUUUCCCGGCAUUAGAAGCCACUGUUGCAACUUUAAUAGUCAUUCCAUCAGACCUUCUGGAAGUAAUAAAGAAGACCAGCCUUGUGCUGCCACUCACGGAAUGGGACAGAUCACGCAUUCCUCUGAGGAAUGAGGACCGGGCUCAGUGGGAGAACCCCUGGACAUUAUUUCUUUGAACACGCCCAACUCAAUCUCUUUGAGUUGCUUCUCAUCAUUGCCCAUAGAUCAAUAGUCGAGCUAGGGAAGAGACCCUCACACAUGUAUCACUCACUCUGGCCACUCCCUCCAGGGCAAGGAGACAGAACAAGGAGAACAAGCAAUGCUUCCUCUACCUGUCACUAGCCAGCCAGCCCAAGGCUCCCUCCGUCUCUAAUGACCCUACGUAUUUUUUCAGGGAGUACAUCUUUAUUUUGUGAGGUAGAUUUUCACUUUAGUUCUGGAUGUCACACUUCAAGAGGCACAGGAGAAAUGAAGAUUAGAAUGCACUUUGAUGCUACAUGGGUAGCAUUACUCCAGAGAUAUAGGAAUUCCUGAAUCUACCUUCUUGAUAUCCAUCCAGUCUACACUGUGGUAUUUCAAACUAGGGGAUUAACACUCAUUGAAGACUGGUAAGAUAAGGAAGGAACAUUUUUGCUGUGUCUAGGCAAGUACUCAGUGUUCUUCUCAUAGUCAUGCUGAGGUGUGACCUGACUGCAGGUCCGUGAAAGGUAGAACAGAGAGCAUAGUUACAGAUGGCCCAGAGGAGACUCCAGCCCAGCCUAGACUCCUCACUCCCCAGUGACCAGACUGCAAAGGGGACGUCACACAAGUGUGGUGAACUCUUGGCUCACACUGGUCCUUCCUACGGUCAAACAUGGCCCUGUGAGUGUCCAAGAUCCUGUGGCUGUAAGAUAAGUGCCUUGGACUGGCUGCCGCCAUUCUGAUGAAUAACUUCCUUCUUCACUUUAAAGUUUCCAUUUCCUACCUCACAGUCACUGGUCAUAAAUAAACCCAGCCCGCGAACAACGCUUAUCCGUGUAAGGAAUAAAUGUGCAAGAGUGGCCCGUGAGUGGGCGAUACAAUCCCCGACCUGCCUGUGCUCUUCACCCACUAUAUGACCAAGCCCCUUUCCCAUUCCUUCCCCCUUCUCCUUUGUUCCAUUCCCCUAGCAAGCGGGUCACCUUGAAACCCUAGCUUUUUUUUCCCUCUCAUUGAGUUUAUUGGUACAUUUUAGGUUUAUAGUCCAGUCACAUUCAUCAUUAGGAUCUUGUACCUCUACAUGACAGGUCUUGGUUCUCAUGCUUUCCCCUUGUCCCUUCCCUCCCUUCAUGCCCUCCUCCCCUCCCCAUUUACAAACACUUUAUUUCCAUUUUCUCAUAUUUUUUUCUUUUCCUUUAUUACCUUUUCCCUAACCUUCCCACUUUCCUUACACCUUUAGCCCUUUUCUUCCAAACAAUUUCACGUUGUCAAUUAUAUCAUUAGGAUCUUAUGUACUAUUAUACACCAGAG
ensembl:lincRNA